UACGUAGGGUGCGAGCGUUGUCCGGAAUUAUUGGGCGUAAAGGGCUCGUAGGCGGUUUGUCGCGUCGGGAGUGAAAACCAUGAGCUUAACUCAUGGCUUGCUUUCGAUACGGGCAGACUAGAGGCAUGCUGGGGAGAACGGAAUUCCUGGUGUAGCGGUGAAAUGCGCAGAUAUCAGGAGGAACACCGGUGGCGAAGGCGGUUCUCUGGGCAUGUCCUGACGCUGAGGAGCGAAAGUGUGGGGAGCGAACAGG
rnacentral:rRNA from 1 species